GCGCCUACUCGGAGGAUGAAAUUUGGAAUCGCGAGGUUUGGUGGAGUCUUUGUUUGAAUCAAACUUUGAGGGUGAAAUUAGGGUUUUAUGUAUUUCGGUUCAGUCGAAGAAAUUAGGGUUUUGAUGGUUGGUUUUCGUCGGUUGAUUGGUUUCUGCCCAAUAGUCCCACACUCCCACUUCUCCUCAAUUAUCAGCAUGUAUCCCCAUCCCCUUUCCCUUCUCUCUCUAACCGUCUGCCAUUCAUAUCCACUUCCUUCCUCCAAUCCUUCUUCCACCGCUGCCCAUCGUGCACCCUUGCCGAUAACCACCAGCGCCACCCUAUUUCACCCCUGCAACUCUCCGGCCAUCGUCACUUCUAUAUGUAAGAUCUUUGUCUACAACUUCUUCUCCGCCAAUGCCUACCACAUCCUACCCUCAUUCUCGAUAUUUUCUAAUAUUUGCUAAGUAGUUUUUUCUCCUUGCAGGUAUGAUGAACCUAUUUCGUAGUAAUUCUAUAAGGUUAUCAAAUGUGAAAUGUCUAUCACAUGCUACAUGUCCUUUUCAUUCGAUGCUCUUCUACUUCGAAAGGCAAUUUAUGUUUAUUAGGUUUUAUCACUCUGACUAUUUGUUUAAGUUUCUAUUUUUUCAUGCAUUGAGUUUUGUUUUGAAGGGUUUAUUAUUCUCUUAUGAGAUUUUCGGAUUUUCGCAGAUUAUUUGUUUGAUUUUGGAAGAAGAAUAUUAAGUGGGGCUCCAAAUUGGGCCAGCAAUCAAACCCAAAGACAAUGAUCUUCUAAUGGCUUACACUAAUCAAUUGGAGCAAUUCCAGUUGAGGGGAAAAAAGUAGUAGUUGUCUUGGAAAGAAAUGUGAUUGGGUUAAACACCUAACUUAUCUUGCGAUUCCUUGAAUUGAAAUGUGAUUCUUUUUACUUC